rnacentral:lncRNA from 1 species
ACCUGGUGGGCAAACAAUGAAGAAAGUAAAACUGAGCAGUAACCAUGACAACCCACCAUGGCUACACAACUUUCAAUCAAAAGCAGAGAGCAGCCCAUCAACAGAGGAAUGCACAAAGAAGAUAUGGUGCCUGGGAAGCCCCAAAACAAAUAUAAUGAGAGGAAAACGUGGGUUUGAAGGAUGGAAUUUCAGGAAUGCAUCUGAAGCAGCCUUGAAGGGACGGCAAAGAAGGUACAAAGAUUUUUCAGGAAGAGCACAGAGCAAAGGAUACAAAAAAGAGUAGAUUAAGAAAAUAAAGCUCAGGAAGGCUAAGUGAUGUGCCCAGGUGAACUUUCCAUCCACGCUCCAGGUGAACUUUCUCUUCAGACUUGUUAAUAUAAUCCAGAUGCAUGAACAAUAAAUUCACUUCCAAAGACGGGAGUUUGUGCUUUUUCUCUGUAGUUUGUUCAUCUAGAUGCAAUGAAACUAUCUGAAGCCUGCUGAGUUUUCAGUACAAUUCUAGAUGCUUGAAAAACAUAGCAAGAUACAGACACUGUUCUCCUAGAAACUGGGAUGGAGUGGCUUGAAUUCUGGCAGAGUGAACUUGGAUAAGAAAUUCAGCAGGUCUGAGCUUUGACUUUCUG